rnacentral:rRNA from 1 species
GAUGAACGCUGGCGGCGUGCCUAAUACAUGCAAGUCGAACGAACGGACGAGAAGCUUGCUUCUCUGAUGUUAGCGGCGGACGGGUGAGUAACACGUGGAUAACCUACCUAUAAGACUGGGAUAACUUCGGGAAACCGGAGCUAAUACCGGAUAAUAUUUUGAACCGCAUGGUUCAAAAGUGAAAGACGGUCUUGCUGUCACUUAUAGAUGGAUCCGCGCUGCAUUAGCUAGUUGGUAAGGUAACGGCUUACCAAGGCAACGAUGCAUAGCCGACCUGAGAGGGUGAUCGGCCACACUGGAACUGAGACACGGUCCAGACUCCUACGGGAGGCAGCAGUAGGGAAUCUUCCGCAAUGGGCGAAAGCCUGACGGAGCAACGCCGCGUGAGUGAUGAAGGUCUUCGGAUCGUAAAACUCUGUUAUUAGGGAAGAACAUAUGUGUAAGUAACUGUGCACAUCUUGACGGUACCUAAUCAGAAAGCCACGGCUAACUACGUGCCAGCAGCCGCGGUAAUACGUAGGUGGCAAGCGUUAUCCGGAAUUAUUGGGCGUAAAGCGCGCGUAGGCGGUUUUUUAAGUCUGAUGUGAAAGCCCACGGCUCAACCGUGGAGGGUCAUUGGAAACUGGAAAACUUGAGUGCAGAAGAGGAAAGUGGAAUUCCAUGUGUAGCGGUGAAAUGCGCAGAGAUAUGGAGGAACACCAGUGGCGAAGGCGACUUUCUGGUCUGUAACUGACGCUGAUGUGCGAAAGCGUGGGGAUCAAACAGGAUUAGAUACCCUGGUAGUCCACGCCGUAAACGAUGAGUGCUAAGUGUUAGGGGGUUUCCGCCCCUUAGUGCUGCAGCUAACGCAUUAAGCACUCCGCCUGGGGAGUACGACCGCAAGGUUGAAACUCAAAGGAAUUGACGGGGACCCGCACAAGCGGUGGAGCAUGUGGUUUAAUUCGAAGCAACGCGAAGAACCUUACCAAAUCUUGACAUCCUUUGACAACUCUAGAGAUAGAGCCUUCCCCUUCGGGGGACAAAGUGACAGGUGGUGCAUGGUUGUCGUCAGCUCGUGUCGUGAGAUGUUGGGUUAAGUCCCGCAACGAGCGCAACCCUUAAGCUUAGUUGCCAUCAUUAAGUUGGGCACUCUAAGUUGACUGCCGGUGACAAACCGGAGGAAGGUGGGGAUGACGUCAAAUCAUCAUGCCCCUUAUGAUUUGGGCUACACACGUGCUACAAUGGACAAUACAAAGGGCAGCGAAACCGCGAGGUCAAGCAAAUCCCAUAAAGUUGUUCUCAGUUCGGAUUGUAGUCUGCAACUCGACUACAUGAAGCUGGAAUCGCUAGUAAUCGUAGAUCAGCAUGCUACGGUGAAUACGUUCCCGGGUCU